ensembl:snRNA U7 U7 small nuclear RNA
CAGUGUUACAGCUUUUAGAAUUUGUCUAGCAGGCUUUCUGGGGUUUUGCUGGAAAGUACAA